rnacentral:lncRNA from 1 species
UAUAAAUUGAAAUUUUAGGAUAUGACUUGAGCUUUUGUGGAUAUGAGUUGAACCUUUAAGAUAUGAAUUGAAAUUUUGGUUUAUGUAUUGGAAUUUUAGUUUAUAAAUUGAAAUUUUAGGAUAUGACUUGAACUUUUGUGGAUAUGAGUUGAACCUUUAGAUUGCGGGAGGAUUUUGUAGAAGGGGUUGAUGACUUUAUUAGACAUGCAAUGGAACUUCUACCAAGAAUAACUAAGACACGGUACCCGGUAGAGUGUGCCUUUAAUUGCUCUUCUCAUUGGCGACAAUGAUGAUGAGAAGGCAAUGGCAUGUGUUUCAAAUAGUGAUGUGUAUGUAGGAAUUUAACAUUUCCUAAGUAGAUAAAAGAAAAGGUUAUAGAGGAAUUCUCUACUUCAUUUUCCAAGAGGAAAAGAAGUUUAAUUGAGAGUGACAUGGUUGAUGGUGAUGGAAUGUUUUCCGUUGGUCGUGGCAGUUCCCAUAAAACGGGGAUCAUAAGACUCUAUGAUGACAAAGACGAAAAGAAGUUUUAUUCUCAACUUUCUUCCAAGUCUGAUCCGUACAAACUUAAUGGGAUUUGUGAUAUUUCUUCUGAUUCAGACAAUGAUUUGACUGGCAAAAGUAUGGAAAUGCUAAUAAAAAGAAUUAAAGGUAAAACGUUUUUCUUGGUAAGGAAGGAUGCUGAACUCCGCAUGAACGUGAAGCAUCCUACUCUUCCAGACAAUGAUUGACUGACAAAAGUAUGGAAAUGCUAAUAAAAAGAAUUAAAGGUAAAACGUUUUUCUUGGUAGAGAAGGAUUCUGAACUCUGCAUGAACGUGAGCAUCCUACUCUUCCAAGAAAAAUAUUUUACCUUUAAUUCUUUUUAUUAGCAUUUCCAUACUUUUGUCACUCAAAUCAUUGUCUGAAUCCGAAUAAAUAUCACCAAUUCCAUUAAGAUUUUACGGAUCAGACUUGGAAGAAAGUUGAGAAUAAAACUUCCUUUCGUCUUUGUCAUCUUAGAGUCUUAUGAUCCCCAUUUUAUGGGAACUUCCACGACCAACGCUAAAACAUUCCAUUACCAUCAACCUUGUCACUCUCAAUUAAACUUCUUUUCCUCUUGGAAAAUGAAGUACAGAAUUCCGCUAUAACCUCUUUUAUCUACUUAGGAAAUGUUAAAUUCCUACCUACACUAUCACUAUUUGAUACACAUGUCAUUGCCUUCUCAUCAUCAUUGUCGCUAAUGAGAAGAACAAUUAAAGGCACACUCUACCGGGUACCGUGUCUUCGUUAUUCUUGAUGGAAGUUCUAUUGCAUGUCUAAUAAUGUCAUCAACCCUUCUACAAAAUCCUCCCGCAAUCUAAA